CCCUUAGAUGUUCUGGGCCGCACGCGCACUACACUGAUGCAUUCAACGAGCCUAGCCUUGACCGAGAGGUCCGGGUAAUCUUUGAAACUGCAUCGUGAUGGGGCUAGAUUAUUGCAAUUAUUAAUCUUCAACGAGGAAUGCCUAGUAAGCGUGAUUCAUCAAAUCGCGUUGAUUACGUCCCUGCCCUUUGUACACACCGCCCGUCGCUCCUACCGAUUGAGUGUGUUGGUGAGGAGUUUGGAUUGGCCUCGGAAGGUGGUUCGCCACCGUCCGUAGCUGAGAAGUUCUCCAAACCGCCCCACUUAGAGGAAGGAGAAGUCGUAACA
rnacentral:rRNA from 1 species